rnacentral:rRNA from 1 species
UAAGCAUAUCACUAAGGGGAGGAAAAGAAACUAACAAGGAUUCCCUGAGUAACGGCGAGUGAAACGGGACGAGCCCAGCGCCAAAUCCCCUGUCCUUUGCGGGCAGCGGGAACUGUGGCGUGCAGGACAAUCUAUGGUGUGACUUCGAGCGUCCAAGUCCUCCUGAUCGGGGCCUUUCCCAUGGCGGGUGUCAGGCCUCUAGAGGCGCUUGUCGUCGCUCCUCUGAGCGUCCUUGGAGUCGGGUUGCUUGGGACUGCAGCCCAAAGC